UACGUAGGGGGCAAGCGUUGUCCGGAUUCACUGGGCGUAAAGCGCGUGUAGGCGGUCGUUCAAGUCGAGUGUGAAAGCCCCCGGCUCAACUGGGGAGGGUCAUUCGAUACUGAUCGACUUGAAGGCAGGAGAGGGAAGCGGAAUUCCCGGUGUAGUGGUGAAAUGCGUAGAUAUCGGGAGGAACACCAGUGGCGAAGGCGGCUUCCUGGCCUGUUCUUGACGCUGAGGCGCGAAAGCUAGGGGAGCAAACGGG
rnacentral:rRNA from 1 species